rnacentral:misc_RNA from 1 species
CACCAAUCGAUUAUUAGCUACAGCCAUCGAUUGUAUUCAAAAAUUAAACAAACCUCUUUUCAACAAUUAAGCUGCUUCCUUUUCCUUCCUCUUUUCACUCCCAUGUUCACAUUUCACGUAAAAAGAAACAAACAAACCUCAACAACUGUAUCACCAAAGCACAUGGUGGGCCCCAUUCCUUUUGUCUUUUCUUUUCACUAUUGUUCACAUCGACACCACCACGUGUCCUUUUCCGCCUCCACUAUCAUCACCCACCUUCACUGACAGCUGUGGUUCCAGGUCAUCUACACCAUCCAUCCAUGCAUGCAUCUGUUAUAUCCAUGUCUUUAUCAUGGCUCCAUGCAUACAUCCAUCGCUAAAAUUAAAUAAAAAAAAUAUUUAUUUUUAUCUUUUUAUUAAAAAAAAUUGUUAUUUCUUAGUUGGAUGCAGCUUUAUAAGCGCCAUUUCUCCAUGUCUUUGGAGCGCCUUUUGAGAGAGAGAUAGAG